CCUCAACCAGGACGAGACGAGGGAAGAAUGCGGACGCGGCUCUGGGUGGCAGGGCUGGCAAGGUGUCUGCGUGGCCCAGGCCCGGGACGUGGCUCCAGCCCAGCUCCCCAACCCCUGGCCAAAGCCACUUCUCCAGUGCUCAGGACGCCCGGCUGUAACGCCCCAGGCAGUGCUGGUCAUCAAAGCUCAGGACCAUGAAACUGGGUGAGGACCGGUGCCACAGGCCUUGGGCUCCUGUCCUGAAACAUGCCUGAGGCUCCCUGCAGUGCACGCAAUGCGAAACACACCCAGGUCCAAAGGCUGCGUGGCCCAGCCCUGAGACGCUGACUUGCUGGAGCUCUCGGCCUACCAGACAAGGGAGUCCAUCACUCAGGAACCUGGCAAGUCCAAAUUUGUGAUCACAACCGGGGAAGCCGGCUCAGGACGGCUGCAGCCCGGCAAUGAAAUCCAGUUGUCCAAUCUGGCGAGCUGCGGCACGUUCACAGCCAGGACACGUCCCGGGGACGGAGCAGGGAGGGCAGCCAGGGCCCAGCGUGCAGUAGUGGGACACUGCCUCUGGGGGCCCCUGUGUCCCUCUUCUCUACUGCUCCUGGGUCCACGCUGGCCUCAGAGCCUGCACAGCUCGGGCCUGCAGGUCAGAGUAACCAGCUCCCCGGCUCCGUGUCCUCCGGCGUCCGGUUCUUCAUGGCUCACCACGAUAGGAUGGGCACAAGCCGAGUGCUGCACUAGAAGCGGCAGCGGUGAUGGGAGGGCGUGUGGGAUUGGGGAACACUUGUGCCGAGGUCUGGGGGCCGCAGGGCCAGUGGCUCAACGCUGGGCAAAGCUCCCUCCCCUCCCCCGCAGGAGCUCAGGACACCCAGGUGCCAGUCCAUCCCUGCAGAGGGCCGGCUGCCCUCCCUCCCGUCCCCUGCCCCCAACAAGCUCUGACUGGUGGGUGCCUCGGCGCUGCACCCCAGCCUGCACUUGGAGCCCCAGAUUCACAGCCAGCACAUCCCUCUGGUGGAGCCUUGGGGCCGUCCUCUCCC
rnacentral:lncRNA from 1 species